rnacentral:lncRNA from 1 species
CCGAGCUGCAAAAAGUCAACUUUUUGAUGUGUUAUGGUCAUGGGGGAGAUAAAUUAGCCUCGGGAUGAUCUGUGAUUAGAUGACAUCCUACAGCUAAUCAUAUCUCGAUUUUGGUCUCUUAGUGCCCCUGGAAACACUGCAUGCUGAGUGGCCGGAAGACACGUGGGGCUGGCCCAUCCGCUCACCAGGGUCCCCGCCACAGGCAGAGGCACCGUUCCUGCAGAGCACUUUCCAUCCAGGUGUUUCUGGACCAGCGACCCACGAGGAGAAUGAAGACAGACGUCUUCCUGCGUUUAUUCAGUGUCUGGCAUCCAGGGCCUGCAACACACACACAGGCACACACACACACACAAAUGUGCACCCACACACACAGGCACACACACACACAAAUGUGCACCCACACACACAGGCACACACACACAGGCACACACACACAAAUGUGCACCCACACACAGGCACACACACAAAUGUGCACCCACACACACAGGCACACACACACACAAAUGUGCACCCACACACACAGGCACACACACACAAAUGUGCACCCACACACACAGGCACACACACACACAAAUGUGCACCCACACACACAGGCACACACACACACAAAUGUGCACCCCCACACACAGGCACACACACACACAAAUGUGCACCCCCACACACAGGCACACACACACAGGCACACACACAAAUGUGCACCCACACACAGGCACACACACACACACAAAUGUGCCCCACACACACACAGGCACCCACACACACAGGCGCACACACACACAAAUGUGCACCCACACACACAGGCGCACACACACACAAAUGUGCACCCACACACACAAAUGUGCACCCACACACACAGGCACACACACACAAAUGUGCACCCACACACACAGGCACACACACACAGGCACACAUGCAUACAAAUGUACACACAUACAAAUGUACACACAUACAUACGUGCGCACACACGUUUACCCACACACGCGUGCACAUACAAAUGUUUACCCACACACGUAUGCGCACACACAAUGUUUACCCACACACGUGCACACACGUGCACCCACACCACAUGCGCACACACACAGGCACACACAAAUGCGCACCCACCCACACACGCACACACACACACAUCUGCUCAAUGUGUGCCCGAGGGCUGCGAGAGGUAAAACAUCUCUGUGGCCCAGGGAGUGGCCUGUCCAGCUGCGGCCACAGACAUGGAGGUGGGGGUCACCGCCGGACCAACAGUCCCACCGUGGUGGGCUCCAGUACAGCUCCCCAGGACAGCUGGACCCACAGCUGAUCUCAGCCCUUGGUUCAGGGACCAUUUCCUUUGAACUUGGGGGUGGGGGUGUGGGAGGUGGCAAGCAGGGUUUCUCGUGGGCUCACCGUGGUGCCUGCAUUGAAGGCUUUGGGGGGUUCUGGCUCAGUGGAAAAGGGCCCGGCUGGUGAGCCACGCUGCCUGUGGGCACCCGGGGAGCCACGUGCGCCUCAGCCUCUCGCUGGGCUGAGCAGGGCCAAGGGAGGAAACAGGACAGCAUUCCCCACAAUCAUGGCAGAGGCUACGCCCUCAAAACAGUCUUUCAGAUCUCACGGUCAUUGGAAGUAGGCUCAGCUGCAGGUCAUGACAUAAACCCCAGCACCACUGCCAAAGUGUCAGUGAUCCAGCCACCUCUCAGGACAGCAGGCCUGGGCUCAGCCUCUGCUGCAUUGUCCCUGGAACACCGGCUCUUCUCUGACUCCCAACCGUAGGGCGGCUGCUGCAGCUCCAAACAUCACAU